rnacentral:rRNA from 1 species
UACGUAGGGUGCAAGCGUUAAUCGGAAUUACUGGGCGUAAAGCGUGCGCAGGCGGUUGUGCAAGACAGAUGUGAAAUCCCCGGGCUUAACCUGGGAAUUGCAUUUGUGACUGCACGGCUAGAGUGUGUCAGAGGGGGGUAGAAUUCCACGUGUAGCAGUGAAAUGCGUAGAUAUGUGGAGGAAUACCGAUGGCGAAGGCAGCCCCCUGGGAUAACGACUGACGCUCAUGCACGAAAGCGUGGGGAGCAAACAGG